rnacentral:lncRNA from 1 species
GAAAAGUUCAGCCUCUCCUUUAAAGGCUUUGGUAUCGGCAGCUCUUGCUCCAUCAACUUCCGCUGAGGCUACUUCAUUCAAACCAGCUGAUGAAGGGACUACGCUUAAAGAGACAUCUUCAGUCCCAGAAUUCUCAUCACAACCAAUGGAUGAGCCACCUUCUUCCCAGGGCGUCAAUCCCCCAAAUAUCGAAGCAGAAGGUAAUUCAGUUUUUUGAUGCUUUACCUUUGCUUGUGCUAUUGGUUUCUGAUUUGUUGCUUUUGAGUUUUGCAGAUGCUCCUAUGAGUCUGCCCGUUGUGGCAACAUAUUCUCGCUCAGACAAGGGGAAGUCCUCACGAAUGGUGGAGUCACAGGUGGCAGACUUGGCCGAGGAUAUGCCAUCUUCCACGAUUAUUGAUGAGGUAAUCUUUGCUUCACUUCUAUUUCCAUCUUGUUCGUUGUAGUGAGAAUCUUCAAUAUUGGCAAUUUUUUUUGCAGGAUGCUGACAAGAUUGUGCGUUCCAUCCAAGACUUGUUCGCUUCCUGAGGGCAAGUCAAGACAUCUCGCCCUGCUCCAUCUGGUCGUCCUGCUACUUCUUCAGAGGAAGAUUUGAAGUUCCUCAAGCAGUUGAUAUUUGAGUACGUGUCUUUCAUGGAUAUGGACAUUGGUAAGGCUAGUGCUGCCAAACACAAGGAUAAGUUUGAGCAUUUGAAUGCGAAGUUGGAGCAAGCACUGACACUUCUGUCGCUCAAUCUUUUUGCCGAUAUUAAAGCGACGUUGAAAGUUAUCCAUUCCGAGGUCCUCUCCUUGCAGGCCAAGAAUGCUGAAUUGAAGGCCAAAAGUAUUCAAUAUCUUCGUGCUGUAUCUGAAAAAGAGUCUUUGCGUCUGGAGAUCAACAAGGCUGAGGACGAGUUGAAAGAAAUCUCUUCCGAAGUCAUGAUUGAAGACUCUUUGAUAGUUAGUUUGGCUGCUCAGAUGAAGGAACUUCAAGCCAAAAUGGACGACUGCAAGGCGAGAAUGGCUGCUAAAAAGCGUAACGCCUCCCAGGAAAUUGAGCGAACUAAGUCUUUGGUCGAGCAGUACAAAAAGUUGGAGGUUGAUGAUGAUGUCGUGGCCAAAUUGAACAUCACUUCCUCUCGACAGAACGAGGAUUGGGAAAAGCUUAGGGAACGAAUUCGUUCAGUGUGGGGUGGACUGUAAUUAAGACAUAUGACCCCUUAACUUUUCUUUUUGUAAUUUCGCG